rnacentral:rRNA from 1 species
GUGAGUAACACGUGGGUGAUCUGCCCUGCACUCCGGGAUAAGCUUGGGAAACUGGGUCUAAUACCGGAUAGGAGCCAUCUUUAGUGUGGUGGUUGGAAGUUUUUCGGUGUAGGAUGAGCUCGCGGCCUAUCAGCUUGUUGGUGGGGUAAUGGCCUACCAAGGCGGCGACGGGUAGCCGGCCUGAGAGGGUGUACGGCCACAUUGGGACUGAGAUACGGCCCAG